rnacentral:rRNA from 1 species
UACGUAGGUGGCAAGCGUUGUCCGGAUUUAUUGGGCGUAAAGCGCGCGCAGGUGGUUUCUUAAGUCUGAUGUGAAAGCCCCCGGCUCAACCGGGGAGGGUCAUUGGAAACUGGGAGACUUGAGUGCAGAAGAGGGCGAUGGAAUUCCAUGUGUAGCGGUAAAAUGCGUAGAUAUAUGGAGGAACACCAGUGGCGAAGGCGGUCGCCUGGUCUGUAACUGACACUGAUGCACGAAAGCGUGGGGAGCGAACAGG